AUUUAAAAUUUAAUCACAAUAAAUAUUUUGAUGAACUUUAUUUAAUAUUAAAUAACAUUUGUAAGAUAAUAUAAAAAGUUAAGUAAAUAUAAUGAAUUUAAGUAAUGUUAUGUGACAUUUUAUUUAUUGAAUUAAUAAUAUUGAGAAUCUUAAGUGAAGUAAGUAUAAUGAAUCUAACUAAUGUUAUUUUAAAUAGCCUAUGAAAAUUUUAACUGUAACGGAAAAAAAUAAUAUUUGUCUAAACAUAAGAUAAUAGUGGUGAUUAAUAUUUAAAAAAGUAAUGGAUAAAUAAAUUUGUUAAUUUCUUUUGAUUGAUUAAAAUAAUUUAAAACUCAUAAAUAAACUAUGGCUUGGGUCUAUCACUUUGUUCUCUUACUUAACAUCUUUUAGAGAGAGCAGGUGUAAAUUUCCAAUCUUGUUUUUAUAUCAGAAUUAUUCUCCAGUAUAUCCUGUAUUUUUUGGUGUGAUACAUUUUUUGUCUAUCGGAUUUUGUCUUCCGCUUGUAUGAUUUACUUUUCAUUCCAGAUGUUUUUCGUUUUCGUUCACUGUUAUUCUUCAUUCAAUUGAAAUCCUCUAUUUAUUGAUUCCUUGUUCAUGAAGAUUAUGCGAUUCUUUGAUUUGAAUAUUAUUAAAGAAAAUACAUUUGAUGUUGAUUUCUAAUUUAUUUUUAAAAUACAUUUUUUAAAUUUAUUUUGAAGAGUGUAUUUUAGUUUGUGUUCUUGCAAGUUAAAAUCGUGUAUUCUUUAUAUUUUAUUCUAUUUUAGUUAUUUGUUUUGUUAAAUUUCCAAAUAUUUAUUAUAUAUAUGAGUCAAUUCCAUUUUAAUGAUUUAUUUAUUAGUUUGCCUUAUUUGAUGUCGAAUUCUAUUUUGUAUUGAAAUAAUCAGUUUUGGAAAUUCUAACAUUUUAAAAAGAGUAAACUAUAAUUAUGAUUUUUCAUAUUUUGAUUGGUUGUUUAUAAUCCUAUGUGUAUAUUCUCAAUGACUUAUAUCCUCAACUUUUAUAUAGUAAAUAAAAUGAUAAUUUAGCUUAUUUUGAUAUUUUAAAAUAAUAUAUGAAUAUUCUCAAUGAUUUAUCGCCUCAACGUAUAUAUAAUAUAUGUUAUUUGUGAAUAUUUUCAAUAACAUAUAUCCUAAACUUUGAAAAUCAUAAUUUAAAUUUAUUUACUUAUAAUUGUUUAAAAGCUUUGUAUUUUUUUUUUAAAAAGCAAUUCUUAUUUUGUAUUUUCUUUUAAUGUUAAAUUUUGAAAAUUAUUAGGGAAAAUUUUACUUUUACACUUUCUUUGGUACCACGUUUCAAGUAUACCAUUGGAGACAUUUUCAUAGAUACACUUUUCAUUAAUGACCAAAAGACCAUACUAGCUCUAACCUUAUCUCUCUAGCGAUCCUCUUUUCUUCCUCUCUCUCUCUCGCGAUCUUUUUUCUUCCUCUCUGCCUCCGAUUCACCGGAGAUCCACCGUCUCUCUCUCAUUCCACCGGUUCUCUGCGGUUCACACUGUCGACUCCUACUUCUGUACAAGAUUCCCAACUGUUCCUGAGAAGCUGUGUUCAAGCUUAUAUGAGAGCCACAACCCUGCCAGCACACAUUUGCUUCGAUAUACAAUGAAUCUGUUCCCUUUAGCGAACUAAUCUCCUAUGAUUCCUUGAUUGCGAAACCUCUAUUUCUCAGUUGUUGAUUUUGUUCCAUUUACUUUUUUACUUGCUCUCUCUCUCACAUACAAAGACCAUAGCUUUUCCACAAGUUUUGUGGCAGAAAAUUUUCAGGCUUUCUAUAUCAGAUUUUGAGUGUUUGGUUACUUUAACAGCCUGCUUGUGCUGAUGGAUCUGGAAACUGAAAAUCGAAUAGCUUCGGUUCUGUUGAGAGAAGCAGCAGAGUUGAGGAGACAAGCUGAAAAAGAUGGUGCCCGAGCUUAUAUUGAGAAGCCUAAUGUAAGGCAUCGACCUAACUCGAGGUUUCUCACAGCAACUGUCCUUGGUGUUCAACAAUAGCGGUAGAAACCAAUGAGAUGUGGUAGGCUCAGGAGCAAGAAAACGAAAGGCUCAAAAGAAAAUCAAGAGAGGAAAGCAGCAGCAGCAGCAGCAGUAGCCAAAUGAAGCAGAGUAGUAGUUUCUCGAAAAGGAGUUUGGAUAAGAGAUGUAGCUCCAUUAAUGAGGAGAGAAAGAUCACUCAUCAAUCAUCAUUGGACAAAAGAUUGUACUUGGAUGAUGAUGAUGAAGGUUUAGGAGAUGAUGAGAUUGAGUCUUUUCUCCAAUCACGGAACAAACGUGGGAGAGGCUCUGUUGGUCCUAGGAUGGAUGAAACUGUCCCUUAUCUUCCCACCGAGAAGGUUGAUCAAUUGCAAAGUUCUGAUACAAGGGAAAGGAAGAGGUUCGUGGGGAUAUUGAGUUUGCUGUAUAUCGUUGCGUUCUUAGCGAGUGUCUCAAAGAAGAAUGGGGAGUGUUGGAGAAGUCUCCGGAGGCGGCUUUAAAUGUGGAUCAGACGAUCUUCGUGGCUGUGGCGGAAGACGUGGAGAGGAGCAAAACGACUGUGUUAUGGGCGGCAAGAAACUUCUCCAGCAAGAAGAUUUGCUUGCUUUACGUCCAUCGUCCUGCUCGGCCUGCCUCCUGCAGUGAGAAUCUUCUGCUUCUCUUUCUCUCUGACUUAACUGUUUUGUGGUGAAUUAUAGAAUAUUUCUGGAUGUUGAAUUGUUCUUGAGUGUAGAUUUGCUCAUGAAUCAUGAUUGAACCUUACCGAGUUUAUAUAUAUAUCCUUUAGUUGAUUGUGGAUGAUGUUAAUGAUGUACCUCUGUUUGCUAAGAAAAUCUGAGAAAUGAUAUAAUUGUUUUAUAAA